CAAAAUGCAAAGCCGCUUAAAACGACGUCGCCACAAUUCAAAGCUCCGGCCUGCAACUCUGCAACUUGUAAUUGAUUUGGCAUACUGGAUCACACCAAAUUUUGAAUACGGGGAGGCUAAAAACGAGAUGUUUCUACUUUCUGUCACUCACGGGUCAUGAAAUUUCUGCUCCAUUGCAAUUGAGGUACUAUGGAACAAUGCAGAAGAAAAAGGGAGAGUAAAGCCUUCAUGAAUCAUGAGCAGUCUAUUUGCAUACGGUCAGUCAAAGCUUGCUAACGUUCUCCAUGCCAAUCAACUUGAAAGAUGGUGUUCUUGAUAUGCUUGGUAAAUAUGUGCUUAAAAAUGUUCAGCAGGUGCCUAUCUCCUAUAACCCAAUGUCAUAUAACAUACUUUCCUCAUUGCGUACAGUUCUUUUCUCCUCCCUUCCAAAAGGAGGUGUGGACAAUUCUCUCAUGUACAAUGGAGUUGCUUGUAAGGGGACGCAAAUACAUGCUAUGGGGCAUUGGACCCACAGGUUAAGGGGAUGAGUGGAAAAUAUUUGGCAGAUUGUAGCUUAGCCGAAGUGAGCUCAUGAGCAAAUGAUACUAAAUUGGAAAAUAAACUUUGUGAUCACAGCUUGAGCUUGAUUUACUGAUGUACCCAUGCUUCAUAAAAGUCCCUUCAGGAUGACUUCUUGCCCCGAAUAGCCACCCCCCUUGGAGGACAUUUUCAAGUCGCUUUUCUGCAAUGGGCAACUCACAAUGUGGAAAGAAGAGACUACAAAUUGGCUUGGAAGCUAUGCCAUGAGGUUUGAGGGCACCCCUGACUUGAGUGGUUGUUAUGCCAAGGUAUCGGACAGCGGGCAAGGGUGCGGGGCAGCGGCUAGUCAAAAAAGAACUUAAGACUCAUGUUCAGGAUGUUUGAUACGGAAACGUAUUCUGUGGAACCUCUGCUUUCUGUGCCUGCUCAACCUAUGUCCUUCUGCUCAAGGUCUUCCACCCAAGUGCCGGCACCAGUAACCCCCAUUACACCUCCACCGGUGGAGAGACCGCCGGUGCCUCGACUGCCGCCAAUGUCUCGGCUGCCACUACUGCCACUGCCUCCAAUGCCACCGAUGACAUUCUUUGAAGCUUCUGCUUGUGACAGCUUGUCCAUACAAGAACUCGACAAUGCCAGAGUACAAAUGCUACUGGAAGUGAGCCCGGACAUGAAAGUAGCCGUACCCGGACGUCAAAGUAGCUGUUGUUUUCGGACUGAUUGUGGCCCAGAGAUAUGGGACGGACAUGUCACUAUGGAAAGGGCUUCAAGGCAGGGGUGACGAAGCCACAACUGCACUACUCAACUCUUAUAACAGUGUUCAAUUCCCGUGUCAUCCCCUCGGUGUGAUCCAAGACACGAAUUGGGCCCUGAUGGGAUCCACGCGCCACGUUCUCCAUAGGGCUUUGCACUUCAUGAAGGCUAAUGCAGGAUAUGGGAAAGUCAGUUGCAAAUUCACCCCUUGCAAUUAGUGAUCAACAGGAUUCAUUUGCUUUUCUGAGUCUAAUUUAUAUGCGGCUGUUUUUAGUUUGUUAAAUCUUGUUUAUCUUCAAUCGAGUGUGCAUUGAUGUGUUGAGUUUUCCCUCACCAUUAUGAUUGCAGAAAGUCCGUACGUGUA